GAUCAUGGCUCAGGAUGAACGCUAGCUACAGGCUUAACACAUGCAAGUCGAGGGGAAACGACAUCGAAAGCUUGCUUUUGAUGGGCGUCGACCGGCGCACGGGUGAGUAACGCGUAUCCAACCUGCCCAUCACUUGGGAAUAACCUUGCGAAAGUAAGACUAAUGCCCAAUGACAUCCCACGAGGGCAUCCGAAUGGGAUUAAAGAUUUAUCGGUGAUGGGUGGGGAUGCGU
rnacentral:rRNA from 1 species